rnacentral:rRNA from 1 species
GAUCAUGGCUCAGGAUGAACGCUAGCUACAGGCUUAACACAUGCAAGUCGAGGGGCAGCGGGAUUGGAGCUUGCUUCAAUUGCCGGCGACCGGCGCACGGGUGAGUAACGCGUAUCCAACCUUCCGUACACUCAGGGAUAGCCUUUCGAAAGAAAGAUUAAUACCUGAUGGUAUCUUAAGCACACAUGUAAUUAAGAUUAAAGAUUUAUCGGUGUACGAUGGGGGUGCGUUCCAUUAGGUAGUAGGG